GCACACCCCAGAAGACAUCUUCAGACCGGGAACCGCUGUUGUUUUUUGUUUUCUAAGGGUCGAUGGAUCGUUGUGGCUGUUCCCAAAACUUCUGUAAUCCUUCUAACCCCUUCCCUCACCCCCCACGGGACGAACCGCCACAAGAUGGCGGCGGCCACGUGGCGGGGGUCUUUGUCUCAUCACAAGAUGGACAAAGAAGCGCGGCGGGAACUCCUCCUUCCCAGAUUAGCAGGAUGUCAAUUUCUACAUUCCUGCUCCUCGUUUGGCUCCAGAAAAUGACCUUCUACCUGUCCACAGGGGAUGCAUGGAUCGUCCCUCAGCCACGAAAAAAUGUGUGGGUCGCCCUUGCCCAAGCCUUGAAACAAGAACACCUGUGUUUAGCCACUGCCUCAGCAGAAAAUUCAAUGUCCACAUGCCUGGUAGGGAUUCCAAGC